UGAGCUUCAGGCCGUAACUGCUUGAUAAAUAGAGUUCCAGGGCUUCAAAAUGAAAACUGUUUUGCAGGCAUAUAGGUGACAUAUAGGGCUACAUUUCUGGAAAUUUUCAUGAUCAAAUCCUUCCCGAGCUGUAAAUUAUAGGCUCCCAAAGUCACUGCUGAAAACUGGGCGGAAACUGUACUUCAAAGAAACGUGAGUUUUCUCCAUGCCAUCACUUCACACACCUUCCUACCACCCAAUGAUGGUCAAAUAACCUUAUUACCUACAAGAUGAAACUCAAAAGAUCAAAUUACCUAAGGUUGCCUCCCUAGAAGCGCUUGAGAUUAAAGACGUCAAGCCGGUCUUCAAACAACACAAACGAAAUGAAGAAAUUAAACACAAAGGAAAAGAAGUGGAAAAGCGGCCCAAAGCUACCUAAAUAGGUACACCACGGCCUUGGAACACAAAGAGGUGCUCCACACUUCCUCUACAACACAAACUAAGAUACACAAACAUUUUUUUUUUGUGGCAUAACAAGUUGCCAAACAUUUUUCAUUAUUUCACACACAAAGAAAGAAGCAAAGAGGAAACUACAAAGAACAUGCAAGUGACUAAAUGACCAUGUGAAUAACAGAUUUCUCCUCUUGCUUACUUGUACAAAAUAAAAUCAAGUUACUGAUUCUCCAAUAAAGAACCAAUUCAAUUUGUCAUAUAAAUGAGAACCCUACCCUAAAUCAACGAACCAUAAUAUCAGUUAGCACCCGCAGAUAACUCCCAUCACAUAAAUUCUCCCAAAUCCCUAAUUCCCACAUCGUAUACCAAAGAAGAUGAUUUUAACUUCUGGUAUCAAAAUCACGAUGGACGUCUAAGUGAUUUUUGCAAUAAAUGAACCCCAACUGAAAAGAAAAGAAAAACAGGACCAGCUCAAAUUCACAAACAUUAAAAAAUGAAAAUCUAGGGAAAAUUGAAAGGAUUACCAAGACCACAAAAAUAGACGAAGUCACUACCGUCCAGAGCCAACCAAAUCCAAAACCUCCCUAGUCCCCUUCACCAUAAUUUCAGUAGCUGAUACCAUGACAACAAUAAGAAAACCCAUAAUCAGCAUCCAAUUUACACAGAACCUGAAUUAAAAAUUGAACAGAAAAUUUGUUAAAGGUAUACCGCAGCCACAGAUAGGAUACUGCAAUCAACUUGUAUACUGCAAUCAACCCUAUACCCAAUCAGUUAAAAACCAACGGCAACAGUAAACAAAAUCAAAACCCACAAAAACAUAAUUAUUGAGGAAUCUGAAGCAAAUAGACAUGCAUGAUUUUCAAUUGGAACUGUGGCCAUAUGCAUAAAAUACAUGAGCAGUGGAAUACCUACUGAAUCUUUUUGGCUUCAAAUCAAAGAGGAUUCCCAAUACCACCAACUUGUAAUUACACACACAGCAGAAUACUACCAUGUUCGUUAAGUUUAACUAAUCUAUUCCUAGUUAAUUUGUGUAUGUUAACCUGUAUUGAAAAGUAUACUUUAUACUUUAUAGCAAUAUGCAAGUCCAAUGGCAUUCCUCAUUUCUUUACUUCUCUGUGCCCAUCAUAAAGUAUAUGUAUCCACAAUAAAAGUCUAAUCACAUUUUCUUCUCUUUGCCAAUUAUUAAGUAUACUUCUCUUUGCCUAAACUGUAAUCAGACCAAAUGGAUUGCACCACACAAUACAAACUAAUCCAUACAGAUUAUAAAUGUCAUCAACAACUGAGUUUAAUUUUAGCUACAAAUUCCAAACUACUAUUGGCAAGGAACACUGUUUUGGAUGGCUUCUAUCAAAUUGUAAAUCCAAGAAAUUCAUGAAACAUGGAAAUACAAUUUAAUAGGCAUCAUCUAUCUGUAAAAAUUUCCCAAACUGCAGUCCUUCUCAACCUUAACAAAGACCUUUAUAACAUUUUAAUUCUGAAGCAUUUUACUUUACCAUGAUAAUGCCAUGGCUCAGAGUCAGGUAAAUGUGGUUACGGUAUCACCCAGGAAAAUUGAGCAAGCAACCCUUUGAAUAAGACGUGCAAACAAAAAGAAUAAACACAAAUGGUUUUGGCUCUUGAUAGCCUAGUGUUGCAGUGGUUGCUCUUCCUGUAGUAGUGGUGGUAUUAUUACCUAAGUAGUUUUCCUGCCUCAAUAAGAUCACUAAGCCUUUCCCUAUUGACAAAUAAAGUCCAGCAGUCAGCUAUUGUCAUUCAUACUGUCCGAAAAUUGCAGGCACAUUCAUACUGUCUGAAAUUUUUAGAAAUUUACCUUUGCAAUUGUGAAAACUCGUACCCAGAAGCUCUGAUAUUUACCUUUGCAAUAGUAAAUUUUUUUGAAGGAUCAGAUUUCAUAUUCUAUUUUUUUCUAUGACAUCAUCACCUGCAAAGAAAAAAUGAAGUAUAUAGUGGACUUCAGUGUUAAGCCAACAGAAUGAAGACAGAGAAAAAAAAACCAUCUGAAGUUCUAAUACAUUUAAAAAAAAAAAAUAUACAUGAACAAAAGGAAAUAGAGAUAACAAUAAUAUCUACCAUUGAUAUGCAAGACCUAGCACUUACAAGUUUGAAGCACAAUUCUCAAGCACGAACACCAAUCUUCUAAAACUCUAAUGGAUCAGAUAAAAACUGUAAAUAAACAUGACUUGAGAGCCACAAAACCCAAACUAAGUGUAAACUUCAAAAAUUCAUUUUUCACAUGAGAAGCUUUAGAAAUCUGGCUUGAAAAUCAGACACGGACAAUCACAGCUACCGAAAUCCUCUUUCUCUCUGUCACAAAAAAGCGGUCUCAAUUCAAAAUUCGAUACCCAUAUCUCAAAUUGCCAAUAAAUGAAAAACACAGAACCAAAUUUCAAAUUUACCAUGAAAAAAGAAAACCAAAUGAUAACCCAAAACCAAAACUGAUUUCAAACAAAGAAUUACCGAGACUGCUAUGCCAAUCGACCGGACAAGAACAACAGAAAAAGCAUUACACUUCAAUAAGAGGAUGGUGAAAAACAGGAAAGGAGAUAAAAGCAAUUGAACUAGUAAUUACAUUCACCAUCUUUAGUUUCCAGCCAGGUCCAGUGAUAUCUGCAAUUUUGUAUUCUGGUGGCACUCGAAAGCAAAAAGAAGAAAGAAAGAAAGAGAAGUCAUAUUGAUACUCAGAUUAAGCAAACAUGAAAAUUAAAUCAAGCAGAUGAAAGCAAAGUUUUCUUUCUUUGAAGCCACUAUAUAAUCGAUACAGUUUUCUUUAUUUGAGUACAUUGCAUGUAAAGUUUGUAACUUUACCUGAAAAAAUGCUUAAAAAUGAAACUCAAAUCAGCAAGUUAUAUACUGAAAUUCGGUGCAAUUGAUCAUUGAGGUGCUAGACUGCAGCAGAGACAAAACCCAAAUCAGCUCAUAUCAAGGAAACAGAAAACCCGGUCCAAAAUAACAAUGUGCAUCACAUUCUUCAUCAGAUAAAACAUGCUGUUAUGUUUGAAAAGAUAUCGACUGCCGAAGAUCAAAGCAAUUGAGCUAGUACUUACAUUCACCAUCUUUAGUUUCCAGCCAGGUCCAGUUUUCUCUCCAAUUUAGUAUUCAGGUGGCACUCGAUAGCAAAAAGAAGAAAGAAAGAAAGAAAGAAAUGAAAAUCAGAUUGAAACUCAGAAAGAAAGAAAUACAGUUUUCUUUAUUUGAGUAUAUUGCAUGUAAACUGUAACUUUACCACUGCUAAAAAAUGAAAAUCAAAUCAGCAAGCUAUAUACUGGAAUUCGGUGCAAUCGAUCAUUGAGGUCCUAGACCGCAGAACAGACAAACGCCGAAUCAGCUCAAAUCAGGUAAUGGGAACGGUUAUCCUUCUUGAAAUGAUAAGCUCAAUCUCAAACGGUAUAAAAACCACACAAAAACGGAAUGAAAAAAUUUGAAAAUUCAAAAGCACUCAACUUAUCUAUUCGAUCUGAGCAGAGGAUUGGGAACUUCCCAAAUCUGUAGUCCCACGAAUCCAUCUUGGGGAAAAUUUAUAUUGCACUCUUUGCAUUGAAACACCAAAUUUUAUGCCAACAAAAAAAAAAUUCAAAUGAAAACACAACAAAAAUUCAAAUGCAAACGCAAAAGCCAAUAAAAUCGAGCAUAACAACAUCAAGAAUACACCUGAGAAACUAACAAAUUGGAUCCCGCCCAAAAUCAACCAAACUCGACCAAGCACAUGUUAACAAAUCCUCCAUAGAUUUUCACUCAAAGAUAUCUCAUCGGCUCUACACCGAAAAUGGAAAAAAAAUAUAUGGAUAGAACCAAAAGAAAAGGAUAAGAAAUACUGAGACAUUAAAGCUGCUCAAAAUAUGGACAAAUUAGAUAAUGCUUGAUCCUAUAGAUGAAGAACGACACCCUCUAUAAAAAAAAUGUGAGAUUUAUACCCAAUUGAGGAGUUCAAGAACCAGAUAAGUCCCUGAAUCCAACAGGUUCCAUACUGAAAAAGAACAACAGUAGCCUGACUUCACAUCUCAAAAACAUUCUUAAUACCCAGUCGAAAUAGCAAAUAAAUGUUGAUUAAAAAGUACUCGAGGUACCCAUCGAGUCUGAGCCAUCAAUUAUGGAUUUAAUAACCCAUAAGGCAAUGCAAUUGUACCAAUGAAAGAAAUUUCGACCCAAGCAAAAAAAAGAAAUCAAUUCUAAUGAUACCAGACUUCCUACAACUACAAUUCUAUCACUGAAGUUCUUGUCAAUUGUUGACAACCGAAAUGAAUAUCUCGAUAGCAAAACAAUCGCUCUACAGGUAAAUCGACACAGUGAAUACGAAAGAACAUCAAUGGAUGAUGCAUAUCACCAGACAAUGGAAUAUUUCGAAAGUUCUACUCACCUCAAACACUUCUCCCAAGGCAAGCCUUCAACUUCUAUCCCUCUCUUCCAAAUCGCCAGAGCUCCCCCUAGCCCCUGCAGUCCCCGUCAGUAUAACCGUUUCUAAAGUUCUUGAAAAAAUAAAAUACCAACUGCUCCUCGUACUACUCAGACCUCAUUUAAACCAAUGAUAAAGUAAAAUGAAAUUAGAUAUAAAAAAAUAUAUAUUUAAAUAAAUAAAAUCGGGACAUCACACAAAUGAUAACCCAUAACAAAAAUUGAAAUCAAACAAAGAAUUACCCCGACUGCUAUGCCAAUUGACCGCACAUGAACAACAGAAAAGGCAUUGCACUAUAAUAAGAGGAUGGUGAAAAACAGGAAAGAUGAUUGAAGCAAUUGAGCUAGUACUUACAUUCACCAUCUUUAGUUUCCAGCCAGGUCCAGUUAUCUCUCCAAUUUUGUAUUCUGGUGGCAUUCGAUAGCCAAAAAGAAGAAAGAAAGAAAAAUCAGAUUGAAACUCAGAUUAAGCAAACAUGAAAAUUAAAUCAAGCAGAUGAAAGCAAAGUUUUCUUUUUUUUUCGAAGCCACUAUACAACCGACACAAUUUUCUUUAUUUGGGUACAUUGCAGGUAAACACUGUAACUUGACCUGAAAAACUGCUUAAAAAUGAAACUCAAAUAAGCAAGCUAUAUACAGGAAUUCGGUGCAAUCAAUAAGCCUUGGCAAUGUGCUUUACGUUGAAUGCUCUUGAUAAUUAUUAUUAUGCAAUUAUUAUUAUGCAGAACCACACAUUAUAUUUAAGUGCGCAUGUAAAAUAAGCAAAAUGUGCACAAAAAAGACUCUAGAGUCAUUGUGUGUCAAGAGAUAUGGGUCUUCAAAGAUGACUGAGCUGCAGUCUCAGUUUUGCAUUUUAUGGCUCUGACCCCUGCCUCUUUGAAUGGGGACUGAAACUUCAUCUUCUUUCCAUUGAAAAUUCUGUUCACACAGUGAAAAAGUAGAGACCCGGAGCUUGAAGUAAUUAUUCCUUGUAGAUAUCUCACAGUAGCUAGGCAAAUUUGACACACAGUUUCUGAAAUCUGCUGCUGACCCCAAGUCACCAAAACUGCAAUAACUGAUGCCCCAGAGAUGCAAAGGGGGUGAGACCACUUGUGAAUGAAAGGUUACACACAAUACUGACUUCCCGUAAAAUUUUAACUCAUUGUCAACUGGGAAAUAUCUCUCUUUAAAGUUGACUGUUCUGCUCUCCAGUUUCAGCCUCCUCUGCUCUGACCCUUGCUUCACCAAAUAAGAAGCUAGGAAGUUCUAACAUGAAAACUGUUUUUCUGGGGUACAGUAGACAUGUCAAGGCACAACAUAUAAAAGUUUCAGCUCAAAAUAUCACCAGGUUAAGGAGUUGUAGCUUCCAAAGUACAGAAGCUGCACUGAUUCUGAGCUUCAGGCCGUAACUGCUUGAUAAAUGGAGCUCCAGGGCUUCAAAAUGAAAACUGUUUUGCAGGCAGAUAGGUGACAUAUAGGGCUACAUUUCUGGAAAUUUUCAUGAUCAAAUCCUUCCCGAGCUGUAAAUUAUAGGUUCCCAAAGUCACUGCUGAAAACUGGACUUCAACCAAUCGUGAGUUUUCUCCAUGCCAUCACUUCACACACCUUCCUACCACCCAAUGAUGGUCAAAUAACCUUAUUAC
rnacentral:lncRNA from 1 species